GGACCUGACUGCUAUCGGAUUGCUAUUAAGCCAUGCGAGUCAUUGUAGCAAUACAAGGCAUACGGCUCAGUAACGCGUAGUCAACCUAACCUAUGGACGGGAAUAACCUCGGGAAACUGAGAAUAAUGCCCGAUAGAACAUUAUGCCUGGAAUGGUUUAUGUUCCAAAUGAUUUAUCGCCGUAGGAUGGGACUGCGGCCUAUCAGUUUGUUGGUGAGGUAAUGGCCCACCAAGACUAUUACAGGUACGGGCUCUGAGAGGAGUAGCCCGGAGAUGGGUACUGAGACACGGACCCAGGCCCUAUGGGGCGCAGCAGGCGAGAAAACUUUGCAAUGUGCGAAAGCACGACAAGGUUAAUCCGAGUGGUUUCUGCUAAAGAAACCUUUUGUCAGUCCUAGAAACACUGAUGAAUAAGGGGUGGGCAAGUUCUGGUGU
rnacentral:rRNA from 1 species